UGGGUUGUGGCUCAGUGGUAGAGCACUCGCCUAGCAUGUCUGGGGCACUGAGUUCGAGCCUCAGCACCACAU
rnacentral:tRNA from 1 species